AGCUUUGUGCGGUGGCAGUAUCAUAGCCAAUGAAGUUUAUCUGAGGUGUGAUUAUUGCUAAUUGGAAUAUUUUUUUACAUGUGUAAUAUUCCCAAAUCAUAGUUGUUAGAGAUAAUAACCAUCAGCGACUUCCAAGGAAG